rnacentral:rRNA from 1 species
UACGGGGGGGGCAAGCGUUGUUCGGAAUUACUGGGCGUAAAGCGCGCGUAGGCGGCUUUGCAAGUCGAGUGUGAAAUCCCCAGGCUCAACCUGGGAACUGCAUUCGAGACUGCAUAGCUAGAGUAUGGGAGAGGGAAGUGGAAUUUCAGGUGUAGCGGUGAAAUGCGUAGAUAUCAGGAGGAACACCGGUGGCGAAGGCGGUUCUCUGGGCAUUACCUGACGCUGAGGAGCGAAAGUGUGGGGAGCGAACAGG